UACGAAGGGGGCUAGCGUUGCUCGGAAUCACUGGGCGUAAAGGGCGCGUAGGCGGAUCUUUAAGUCGGGGGUGAAAGCCUGAGGCUCAACCUCAGAAUUGCCUUCGAUACUGGAGAUCUUGAGACCGGAAGAGGUAAGUGGAACUGCGAGUGUAGAGGUGAAAUUCGUAGAUAUCGAGAGGAACACCAGUGGCGAAGGCGAGUCCCUGGACAACACCUGACACUGAGGCACGAAAGCUAGGGGAGCAAACAGG
rnacentral:rRNA from 1 species